rnacentral:rRNA from 1 species
GAUGAACGCUGGCGGCGUGCCUAAUACAUGCAAGUCGAGCGAACAGAUGAGGAGCUUGCUCCUCUGACGUUAGCGGCGGACGGGUGAGUAACACGUGGAUAACCUACCUAUAAGACUGGGAUAACUUCGGGAAACCGGAGCUAAUACCGGAUAAUAUAUUGAACCGCAUGGUUCAAUAGUGAAAGACGGUUUUGCUGUCACUUAUAGAUGGAUCCGCGCCGCAUUAGCUAGUUGGUAAGGUAACGGCUUACCAAGGCAACGAUGCGUAGCCGACCUGAGAGGGUGAUCGGCCACCCUGGAACUGAGACACGGUCCAGACUCCUACGGGAGGCAGCAGUAGGGAAUCUUCCGCAAUGGGCGAAAGCUUGACGGAGCAACGCCGCGUGCGUGAUGAAGGUCUUCGGAUCGUAAAACUCUGUUAUUAGGGAAGAACAAAUGUGUAAGUAACUAUGCACGUCUUGACGGUACCUAAUCAGAAAGCCACGGCUAACUACGUG